rnacentral:rRNA from 1 species
GGGUAGUCCAGGGUGUAAACGCUGCUUGCUUGAUGUUAGUUGGGCUCCGAGCCCAACUAGUGUCGGAGAGAAGUUGUUAAGCAAGCUGCCUGGGAAGUACGGUCGCAAGGCUGAAACUUAAAGGAAUUGGCGGGGGAGCACAGCAACGGGUGGAGCGUGCGGUUUAAUUGGAUUCAACGCCGGAAAACUCACCGGAGGCGACGGUUACAUGAAGGCCAGGCUGAUGACCUUGCCUGAUUUUCCGAGAGGUGGUGCAUGGCCGCCGUCAGUUCGUACCGUAAGGCGUUCUGUUAAGUCAGACAACGAACGAGACCCUCAUCUUUAAUUGCUACUGGUAAGUUCGCUUACUGGGCACAUUAGAGAAACCGCUGGCGAUAAGUCAGAGGAAGGCGAGGGCAACGGUAGGUCAGUAUGCCCUGAAUCCUCCGGGCUACACGCGCGCUACAAAGGGCUAGGGACAAUGAGCUUCAACACCGAGAGGGUGAAGGGUAAUCUCGAAACCUAGUCGUAGUUCGGAUUGAGGGUUGAAACUCACCC